AUUUUUUUAUUGCAAUAAAAAAAAAAAAAAAAAAAAAAAAAAAAAAAAAAAAAAAAAAAAAAAAAAAAAAAAAAAAAAAAAAAAAAAAAAAAAAAAAAAAAAAAAAAAAAAAAAAAAAAAAAAAAAUUAGAAAAAAAAAAAAAAAAAAAAAA